GACAGAGGGUGCAAACGUUGUCCGGAAUUAUUGGGCGUAAAGAGCUCGUAGGCGGUCUGUCGCGUCUGCUGUGAAAACUCAGGGCUUAACCCUGAGCUUGCAGUGGGUACGGGCAGACUAGAGUGCGGUAGGGGAGACUGGAAUUCCUGGUGUAGCGGUGAAAUGCGCAGAUAUCAGGAGGAACACCGAUGGCGAAGGCAGAUCUCUGGGCCGUAACUGACGCUGGAGGAGCGGAAAAGCAUGGGGAGCGAACAGG
rnacentral:rRNA from 1 species